CGAAAAGAUCGACAAUACAUUUCAUCAAAAUCAAAAAACUGGUUCAUCUGUAACACAGUUUAAGAAUAAACGUGGAAUAUCUGAAUUUCAUGGAAUCAUCGACAAUAAUUAUGUGAUUCAACCAUUGCCCCAUUAUCUUCGUAAACGUCGAGAUUUGUUUAAUAAUGCUUCCAAAUUGCGUUAAUGGAAAAUGUACAAUUAAGGAAGCAGAAAAUAACAACGGUCAUGUAACAAACGGAGCAUCUAAAAAAAUUCCACGAAAAAAAAUUCCCUUAUUAUACAAAUAUAUAAACUAACAAAUCUGGUUUGUUGUUGCAACAAAUUGUUCGUUCUUCUAAUAAUUCGAAAUUAAUAUAAUCUACCUAUAUUACAAAAAGAUAUCGCCGCCAACGCCGCCGCCGCCGCCGCCGCUGUUCCAAGACUCUGAAUAUAGCCGCAAGUCAAGAGAAGGGGGGUAGAAGAGAAGGGGGGGGGACUUGAGGCUAUAUUCAGAGUCUUGAAACGAUCUUAACCUUUAAAUUUAGGGUAGGGGAGCGGAAGAGAGGAGGGGGAAUGGGGGUUGGCGCGCGAAGCGCGCAGGGGGCAUAGCCCCCUAGUAUAUAUAUAUAUAUAUAUUUAUUAUUAAUAAACUAAUUUCUGUAUAAUUAAUAAUUAAUUAUAUAACGUAUUUAAAAAAAAGUAAUGUAAAAAUUGAAUAAUUGAUUAAUUAUAUUUCAACAUCUUCAUUCGUAAUGAGCGAUUCGAAAAAAAAUUGUCAAAACGUCGGUUGAGGGGAGAAAGAUGACAAUUCAGGUAAGUUUUGAACAACAUGCCAUUUCAGCAAAGAUUUGAAAAACAUGCCUUUUCAGAUGCGUCAAACUUUUUGGUUAUUUCAAAUUAAAAGUACUGUGACAUCACUGCGAUUAAUGUUAGUAAUUAUUCUGUAAAAUUAAUCUUGAACAUUCAAUAAGGGACAUCAGAAUAUAAGUUAUAAUACUUUUUGUUUUUUUAUUUUAUUUCUUUUCGUCUAAAAUGCACAAAAUAAUUUAACACUUGAAAUGUCAUGUUUUUCACAUUUCUGCUGAAAUGGCAUGUUUUUCAAAACUUACCUGAAUUGUCAUCUUUCUCCCGUCAACCGACGAAAACUACAAUUUUUGAGUACUCAUAUCUUUUUUUUUUUGACUCAACGAUUUUUGAAAAUUUUUUUUUUUUAUCAGUAUGGGUUUUUCGUUGUUGCUGAUUACGAAACCGAUAUCGGUUUUUUAAAAUUCAAAAUGGCAGAUCCAAUAUGGCUGAUUUUUUUCAAAGUUCU